rnacentral:rRNA from 1 species
CCCCCACCACCACCAUUCCUCCUCUCCGGCCCCUCCAAUCCAAUCCCGCCGAAUCCACUCCUCCUCCUCGUCGUCCCCCUCCCGCGGCCUCGCCUCGAUCCGGAAGGAAGGAAGGAAUCUCCCUCCAAUUCCGCGCCCAACUCCCCAGCUUGGGGGCAUUUCGGAAUCCUCCUCCUUCGAGGCGUCUGUCUCGGCCCCAAAGAUCCAAUUUGGUUGGAUUUCUGCUCCCGAGCCGGAGCCCGGCCGGAGGCGCACGACCUUCAGGAGUUGAUGCCACCCGGCGAUGGAUCGCCGAGCCUUCAGGAGUAACUCGUGCAACAGCAAGAACCCGGCGCCUCCCUCCUCGCCCUCGGCGGCGGCGUCGGCGGCGGUGUACCGGACGUCCUCGGCGCCGGUGGGGGGCUCCAAGGACAACGUCGGCGAGCGCAAGGCGCUGCUGCCCCGGCGCCCCGAGGGCGGCACGGCCCGCAAGGCCUACAAGGGGCCCAAGCGGCGGGUGCAGUGGAAGGACACCCACGGGAAGAAGCUCGCCGAGGUCUUGGAAUUCCAGCCUAGUGAUUCAAGUGACUCGGAUGAUGAUUAUUUGGAUACUUGCAUAUGCUCAGUCAUGUAAAUAUCGCAGGGCUGAAUCUCCGGUGCAUCUUGCGCAGGUGGAGAGUAUGAGUGUUUAGCAAGAGCUGUAUCUUAAUGUUAUGCAUUGGCCUAACAGUCUUGUAUAGAAAAAAGGUUCACUCCAACAGGCUCAAACUAUCUCAUGUAGUGCAAGUCAGGGCUGCGACCUAGCAAGGACUGGCGACGACGAGCCCAUAUAAUCUGUUGAGUGCGCAAGCAGCUGGAAGUUGCGUCAGAAUUUUGAGAUAUCGCCACACAUCAGACUAGAAAUGGAAAAAAGUGACCCGCGGCGUUCGCAGCAGCAGCCUUGCUCUUAUGUGUGAUAAGCAAAAUGCUCUUAGAAUCAGACACGGGCAUUUUUGCGGGGCUGGAAUUGCGACCGAUUUUUUGUCAAUAGUAUCUGCCUCUUGGCAUGUUAACUAACUAGCUGAUGUUCCUGUCUGUCAGUCUGAUGCUGUCAUCGCACGCUUAACAUUAUUUUUGCAUGAAUUGAUGCCCAAUGGAUGGUGUGAUGGCAAAGUGCAAGGUUUGUAACAUUCUUGUGCCCUGUUGGGCAGUUCACUGUCAUCAAAA